rnacentral:lncRNA from 1 species
AUCCUGCCUUUACAGUGGUAUCAGAGCUACGAUCUAAGGAACAAGAUACCUGGAUCUUAAAGAAAUUGGUGGACCUGCAAGGGUCUUGAAUCUUUGGGACUGCUGAAAAAGCAGAUUGAGGACAACUAGAGUUAUUCAACUCGCUUGGUGAGACCUUUUCAAUUUUUUGUACAUUAACUUUCAGAAAUUUGUGUUUCUUGAACUUUUCCUUGAUUUUUCGGUACACCGUUGAAACCCCCAUGAGACUAAUUUUGUCUAGUGGCUCCUGUGAGUCCCCUGGAAUAUGAGAUAAAUCAAGUGCGGGUGUGUACUUAGAGAAUCUUGCUGGAGGGAUCUGUGAAACCUUAUAUUCAAUCUUUGUGACUAUUGUCUAUUAAUUGAUCUUGGCUGUUCUCUUAUGAUAUUGCAAGAAUUGUGAAAUCCUGUAUUAUUGUGUGUUCUACUGUACUUCAAAUUUGAGACAAAGUGGUACUUUUGACUCCCUAUUUAAACUGCUACAAGCUCUUGCUGAACUAUGUGUGAGAAUUUAUCUGAAUCAUGGCUACUACUAAAUUUGAAGUCAGUCAGUUUUAUGGUAAAAUUGAUUUUGAUAUGUGGAGUCAGAAAAUGGAAGCAAUUUUGAUGAAGAUGAAAUGUGCCAAGGCUUUAGAUGAUUCAUGGCCUCAAGGCUUAUCACCUAAUAAGAAAUCUGAACUUGGG